rnacentral:lncRNA from 1 species
CGGGGUCCCGCGGGCCGAAGGGGCUGGGCGGGUCCUGCACGCAGCAGACCGCAGGGAGGGGCCGGGGACCGCGAGUGCACGCGAGUGGGGGCGGAGGCUUAGCCGGCAGGUGGAGAGCUCAGGUAGCUGGCUGAGCAAUCUGGAAGACUUGGGGCUGGCCUCUCCCCGGGUGGGCUAGGAUGCGGCAGGGUCCCGCGUCUGAGACGUUUCACUUGGGCCGAGGCCCCGCAGACAAAUGCGAGGAGGGGCGAGGACCCGCAGUCAGGAAAAGGUACUGAAAGACAAGCUUCUGUCUCCAGCCGCAUCUCCUGCCGCUCCGCCUGGCUCCCUGGCACUCCUGGCAAACACGGGCCUCUUCCCAAGGUCCCGCACAUCCCAGGCGUUUUCGAGUCCCGGGAAUCCUGCGGCGUCUUGGCUAUACCUCCAGAAAAUCAGGAUAGAAGUUUACACAUGGAUCCUGAGGCUCUGCGAACUGCCAAGCUGCUGCUGAACUGCCUGUCCCCUCUGCUGUGGCCCACCCGGACAGCCAACUGACCAUCCCCUGCUGGACAGCUGGCAAGCCCCAUCCCUCAUGGCCCAGACACCAGAUUCUGGCUGGAACUCGUGAGACACAAAGCUCGCAACAGUGCUCACGUGGCUCGGGUCCAUGCACUUCAGUGUCUAGAAAGGGGCUAGGAGCAGAGCUGUAGCAGACACUGAUUGGUGGCUCCCACGUGGAAGUCGAGUGGCCCUCUUUUUGCACCAUAAGUCCCUUGUCCAC